rnacentral:rRNA from 1 species
GAUGAACGCUGGCGGCGUGCCUAAUACAUGCAAGUCGAGCGAACGGAUGAGAAGCUUGCUUCUCUGAUGUUAGCGGCGGACGGGUGAGUAACACGUGGAUAACCUACCUAUAAGACUGGGAUAACUUCGGGAAACCGGAGCUAAUACCGGAUAAUAUUUUGAACCGCAUGGUUCAAAAGUGAAAGACGGUCUUGCUGUCACUUAUAGAUGGAUCCGCGCUGCAUUAGCUAGUUGGUAAGGUACGGCUUACCAAGGCAACGAUGCAUAGCCGACCUGAGAGGGUGAUCGGCCACACUGGAACUGAGACACGGUCCAGACUCCUACGGGAGGCAGCAGUAGGGAAUCUUCCGCAAUGGGCGAAAGCCUGACGGAGCAACGCCGCGUGAGUGAUGAAGGUCUUCGGAUCGUAAAACUCUGUUAUUAGGGAAGAACAUAUGUGUAAGUAACUGUGCACAUCUUGACGGUACCUAAUCAGAAAGCCACGGCUAACUACGUG